CUACGGGGGGCAGCAGUGAGGAAUAUUGCACAAUGGGGGGAACCCUGAUGCAGCAACGCCGCGUGGAGGAUGACGCAUUUCGGUGUGUAAACUCCUUUUAUAUGUCAAGAAAAUGACGGUAGCAUAUGAAUAAGCACCGGCUAACUCCGUGCCAGCAGCCGCGGUAAUACGGAGGGUGCAAGCGUUACUCGGAAUCACUGGGCGUAAAGGAAGCGUAGGCGGGUUGGAAAGUCAGGUGUGAAAUCCUACAGCUUAACUGUAGAACUGCACUUGAAACUUCUAAUCUAGAGUAUGGGAGGGGAGAUGGAAUUAGUGGUGUAGGGGUAAAAUCCGUAGAUAUCACUAGGAAUACCUAAAGCGAAGGCGAUCUCCUGGAACAUUACUGACGCUAAGGCGUGAAAGCGUGGGGAGCAAACAGGAUUAGAUACCCCAGUAGUC
rnacentral:rRNA from 1 species